rnacentral:rRNA from 1 species
CCUACGGGAGGCGGCAGUGGGGAAUCUUGCGCAAUGGGCGAAAGCCUGACGCAGCAACGCCGCGUGCGGGAAGAAGGCCUUCGGGUUGUAAACCGCUUUCAGCAGGAACGAAAAUGACGGUACCUGCAGAAGAAGGAGCGGCCAACUACGUGCCAGCAGCCGCGGUGACACGUAGGCUCCAAGCGUUGUCCGGAUUUAUUGGGCGUAAAGAGCUCGUAGGCGGUUCAGUAAGUCGGGUGUGAAAACUCUGGGCUCAACCCAGAGCCUGCAUUCGAAACUGCUGUGACUAGAGUUUGGUAGGGGAGCGGGGAAUUCCUAGUGUAGCGGUGAAAUGCGCAGAUAUUAGGAGGAACACCGGUGGCGAAAGCGCCGCUCUGGGCCAAUACUGACGCUGAGGAGCGAAAGCGUGGGUAGCAAACAGGAUUAGAUACCCUGGUAGUCCACGCCGUAAACGAUGGGCACUAGGUGUGGGUUUCAACUAACGAAAUCCGUGCCGUCGCUAACGCAUUAAGUGCCCCGCCUGGGGAGUACGGUCGCAAGACUAAAACUCAAAGGAAUUGACGG